GUGGAGCAUCUGCCUAAAAUGGACACUAGCAUCUCUAGAUAAAGGAGAGGCUGGAGUGCCACACUUUUACUGCACACCCAACCAUUAAAACAACAGCCAACCAACUGUUGAGGAUUGAAACUUGUUCCACAAUUCAGGGAACACAUGUGAAAAUAGGAUCUGGACCUCUCUGUCCUCUCGUCUCUGGACACUCUGGGUGGACCAUCUCUGGAAGAUCCUGUCCCAGCUGCAGAAUGGCAUGAGCUGUCCAUAUCUACAGAAAGAAACACUGGAGGCAAUAGAAUAUCCUGUCAAAGGCCAUUCUGCCCUUGACAAUGAUGUGAAGAUUCCGCUGUCUCCACAUGAACACACCCAGCAUGCCCCAACAUUGUGCUAUUGUCACUAUGGGGGCAAGAAGGAGAAGAGGACUAUGCAAGUAGGAUGCUGGAUGUCAAGAUAAUAAUAAUGAUUGAGUCACCCUCUAGUGAUGACGAUGAAGCUCAGGCUCUACACUUCAGUGUGAGAGCUCAGUGUUGUUUCUGGAACCGUGUCCACACCAACACCCAGAAAUCCACAGGUUUUGGAUGGUGGAUGCUUCUGACCCAACGGGGAGAGUGGAGGCUUGAGCACUUAAGUCCCUGCAGAUUUCUCAACCUGCCUGAACUCUCUGCUAAUCCAGUGUUCCAGUACUCUCCUACGGUGAGGCGAGAGAAGACCAGAGAUGUUUGCAACUCUGAUCCAGUCUAACUGAACUUCCAGUGCUCAAACACAGAGAGUGGACAGAGAUUUUCGAGGCCUCUCCAUGAAUGCUGUCCAGAAUCAAGCUAUGGGGGAGUUCAGUGUGGGAGACGUGCAGGACCUUGGAUGGAGUCUGGGAUCUAGAGAAUGAAAUGUAUCUUCAUUAGGGCCAGAAGACACAUGAGGAGUGGCCUAGUAGAUACAGAAGACACAGUGUCAUGAUGUGGAGUCCAAGGCCAAGGGAGGUUACUGAGAAAUCCAAUGCCUGUAUGAGUGAAGCUGGACAUGAACAGUGUGGAUGGACGUGGUCCCUUUCACUUCAAGCUGCAGUGUUAUCACCAGCUGCUGCAGAAGCCCAUGUCCCAGUAGACUAUCCUCUGACAAGAAUAUUAUGCCUUUUAAGCUCAUAUGAUGAUUUCUCUGUCUCCAUAUAGGAGACCAGGCCAUAAAAGGUGCUACUGUCACUGAGGAGACCGUAAUGAGAGGACUGUGACAGUGGGAGGCGUCAUGCAAAAGUGAUGUGAGGCUCAGAUGCAUCUGGAAGCUUUAUGGUGCAACCCCUUCUUCCCUAUUCAGACCUUCAUUCUAUGCUGGAGUCUUCCUAGUGACAGUCCUGUCACCAAAUGACAACAACUUCUCCCUGAUCAAUCUUGAGACUAAAGAGGCUAGAGGAGGGCCUCUACAGAUCAGUCAGUGGGUGUCCCCUGACCACUGCCACUGCAUUUUCUAGGGAUUGUGUUCUAUGUGUGGGAUGUAUGAGAGAGCUGGUCUCCCAGCUCUUGGGAUGCAGCCUGUUCCUCAUUUCCUGGACUGUGCCUGCUCCAGUCUUCCUCUUGCAUCAUGGAAGCCAUUCUUCCAGUCACAGGCUUGACUUCAUUCUUACCCACAAGGGGGAAGGGUGAAGAUUGGCUCUGAGAUGUGACCCCAGCUUCUAGACUGUCUAUGUGAGGUGGUAUUAUCUGAUCUUUUCUCAGUUGCCAUUCUAUAGUCACAGUGAUGUGCAAGGCUCUAGCUAGGUGCUAGAUCCCAGGAUCAUUAAUAUCAUGGACAACCUGUGCCCAAGAAGCUAACACACUGACACAGUCCAGGACAUCCAGGAAUACGAAGGUGGUGAGGUCAAAAGCCCUCAGAGUGUUAGGUGUUGCAACAUGCAAAAAGCCUAAAUUCUACACUCCCCUUGUGCUGGUGAUGGGAAAGUCAGAAGAUGAAGAGGCUAUCCUGAUGGCCGGACAAUGUAGCAAUCCCAGAAACAAGAGGCCAUGCUCCUGCAUGUAGAUCCACCAUUCUUCACAUAUGCAUGUUGAGUUUCUAAGCAGGUGUCCCCAGCUAUGGUUCUGACCUUCAGAAAAGCAGUCAAAGGUCAUGAGGAUUUCUGACAGAAUCAACACAGGCUGAUGCCUGUAAACCAAAGUCCUUUCCUGUUUGGAGCUGCUGAGUGUAGUCUGAACUGUAUGAUCCAAAAAUCUAAUUCAGCAGUGAAAAUAUAAGCUUCCAACCUCUAACCUGGAACAUUCUGUCUCAAAAAGGACAGUGUGUACACUUGAAUGGAAAGACCAGGUCCUGGUGCUUUCCCACAAGAAGUUGCUGAAUGUGGCUACCUGGAAGGACAACCAAAGAGGGCUGCCAGAGAGGAGGCCACUACCAAUUAGUCAAGCAACCUCAUCUGCAUCAUCACAAGCAUCUGUAGUAUGGAGGUCUGGUAAACACGGUGUGGGCCUCUUCCUUCCCUGGAUGCCACCAUCAAGUGAGAUAUAGGUCGUUCACAUCACUGUGUGGACCUAGAAUUCCUCUGCAGGUCCUUUUACAGGAGUGGAGUCCUUCCCUCCAAGAGAGGUUAGCAACUGGUCAGACAUUCAGGCCAUUUUCUUUCUGCUAGCCUGUGCUUCUUUGAGUAGGUCCAAUUCAGUGCUACUAGGUCAUGCCUGUUCCAGUAUCCUGAACUCAGUGAGGAGGUUGGAUCAAGUGUCAAAGGAAUGAAGGUCAAGCUCUGGAUUUUAUCAGAGAGUCUGAGCAAGACCACUGAUGUUCUGGGAAAAACUUGACUUUUCAGUGGGAUCUUCAUCUGCUGUACAUAACCAACAACCUCUGCUGUGAUGAAAACCAGGGAACGCUAACAAAUCUGCAUACUGCUAUAUUCCAGAGGAUGAUAAAAGGUGCUGCAGUUGGCAUGACUGCUGACAAGAGACACUCAGAGGUUCACUUCAAAUUCAAUAUUCAGAUUGUCUUCAUGGUCUUUCCUUAGUCUCCCCUUAGAGACAGAACUGAAAUUCACCCUGGACCACAUCUUUUACAUGCAGGAAGAACCUUUUGGCCAUCAUCUUCAAGCCUGCAUGAGUUCAUAUAUGUGUCCCAGGCCUCAAGCUUUUGAGUCUCCAGGCGAAAACUUUUGGUGGAGUUGCUACAGGAUCUAUAUGCGAGUCUCUUUGUUUGCCUUCUGUACAUGGAUAACACAGGUGAUGUUCUGAGCCCUUUGUAGGGAGGAGAACAAAGACCUGGAGAUGUCAUGCUGUUCACCUGUACAAACAGUGCAGAGGAGCAGGCAACCAACACCAGACCUUCUGGGUGCUAGGACCCUGUCACUAUCCAAGGGCUAUCUAGGAUGACUCUGUACAGGCGGUAUGGCAGAAGUUAAUUCUUUCCAAAAGAGCCUGACUGACAUAGUAAAGAGGGCUCCCACAACCUCCCUCUCGCAGUCUCCAUCAACUCUUGCAUGUCUCCUUGGCAACCACUUCAGAGAGUUUGUGAUUCUCCUGACAGGAGAGCUCCAGCAAAAUCUCGGACUUCAGGCUCAUGAUACUGAAGAGACUGUUCUAGCUGAUGAGGCCGGGCUUAGAAGAUGGACUACAGCCAAGAACCCUGGCCACCAUAACGACAAGUCACACCUUUAGGGAACACUUGAAAAGCACUUAUGCACAGUAGAAAAGUACAAGGAUUAAAGUCUCCUCAGGCAUUCCAGCAUAGAGA
rnacentral:lncRNA from 1 species